rnacentral:rRNA from 1 species
UACAGAGGAGCCAAGCGUUGUCCGGAGUUACUGGGCGUAAAGCGUGUGCAGGCGGCGCAUCGCGCCCGGCGUGAAAGCCCCCGGCUCAACCGGGGAGGGUCGUCGGGGACGGGUGCGCUUGAGGGUAUCAGGGGCAGGUAGAAUUCCCGGUGUAGUGGUGAAAUGCGUAGAGAUCGGGAGGAAUACCCGUGGCGAAGGCGGCCUGCUGGGAUACACCUGACGCUGAGACACGAAGGCGUGGGGAGCGAACGGG